rnacentral:rRNA from 1 species
GAUCAUGGCUCAGGAUGAACGCUAGCUACAGGCUUAACACAUGCAAGUCGAGGGGAAACGAUAUUGGAAGCUUGCUUCCGAUAGGCGUCGACCGGCGCACGGGUGAGUAACGCGUAUCCAACCUGCCCACCACUUGGGGAUAACCUUGCGAAAGUAAGACUAAUACCCAAUGAUAUCCCACGAAGGCAUCCGAAUGGGAUUAAAGAUUUAUCGGUGAUGGAUGGGGAUGCGUCUGAUUAG